UAGUCCACGCCGUAAACGAUGUCUACUAGCCGUUGGGGAACUUGAUUCCUUAGUGGCGCAGCUAACGCACUAAGUAGACCGCCUGGGGAGUACGGCCGCAAGGUUAAAACUCAAAUGAAUUGACGGGGCCCGCACAAGCGGUGGAGCAUGUGGUUUAAUUCGAUGCAACGCGAAGAACCUUACCUGGUCUUGACAUCCUGCGAACUUUCUAGAGAUAGAUUGGUGCCUUCGGGAACGCAGUGACAGGUGCUGCAUGGCUGUCGUCAGCUCGUGUUGUGAAAUGUUGGGUUAAGUCCCGUAACGAGCGCAACCCUUAUCCUUAUUUGCCAGCACUUCGGGUGGGAACUCUAAGGAGACUGCCGGUGACAAACCGGGAGGAAGGUGGGGACGACGUCAAGUCAUCAUGGCCCUUAUGGGGCUGGGGCUACACACGUGCUACAAUGGGGCUGGUACAGAGGGGUCGCGAACCCGCGAGGGGGAAGCCAAUCCCACAAAGCAGCUC
rnacentral:rRNA from 1 species